rnacentral:lncRNA from 1 species
AAACUCCAACCAAUGCAAGCCUUUGAAUAUUGGGUUUGAAGAAAUCAAUUAUUGUUCUUAGGUUGCAAACAAGAGAUCUAGCUACUUUGGUCAUCAGAUCUGAAUGGAUAUAGCUGUCAAAUUGUUGCAACUUAUGUUAUCGACAAAUUGAAAAUAGGGUUAUAUCAGUUGAGAUUCAAAACUUUGACCCCUUUUUAGCUACCACGAAUAAAACUAGGGCUGUUUUUUUUUUCUUUCUUCUUAUUAAAUAUAAGUUAUCAUACUUAUAGUUAUUGGUAAUUAGCCUGGCUUCAAUGCUUUUUUUUUUUUUUUAACUUUUUCUAUUGAGAGAUGCAAUAACAUACUAAACUCACACUACAUAUAUGUUAGGACUUAAAUACAAGACCUUUUCUGAGGAGAGCAUUU